UUUGAAUGGCUGAGUGGAGGGAGAGAGGGAAACAGAGGGCAGAAACUAAACCAUCAAACAACGAAACACACACACGGAAAGAGGGAGGGUGAGAAAGGAAAGGAGGAGGAAGAGAGGAGGGGAGAGGAAAACAGAGUUUCAGGUUUUGAAUCCCAAGAGAGCGGAAGACGAGAAACGUUUAGUUGUUGGAGAAAAAGGUGUUUGCCCGAGGUUUAAAACCGCGUCAAAGGAGCCGCGUCGAUUAGAUUCUCCAGGACUUCCGGGGUUGAAUUCUUCUCUAAAAGGAACACAAUGUUAAAGUCUGUCUGAUGUUGGCUCAUUCUUAUUCAUUCAUUCAUUUAUCGGUACUAUUACAUUUCCAAAGUGCUGUAACCAAGCAACACUAUAGCAUGAAAAUGAGUAUCCAUGUAUUCAAGCAGCUCAUGAAAACCAG